GUCCCCGGCGUCCGGGCGCCCUGCAUGGAUCCCCCACCCCAGCUCCUGCUCCCCGGCGGCGGCCGGUGGGCAGAAAGACCGAAACCCACUCACGGCCGCCUGCCGAAUCGCGGCUCUGCUGUUUGUGGGGCGUGCUAGAAACGUGGUCCUAAAAAGAAUGGCGUCCAUUUACAUAAUGCUUUGUUUGCGUUUCGCAAGUUUCUUUCGGUUAAAGCCACAGAAACCCCACCUCCUGCCCUUGUGUCGUUUCCACCGCGGCACCCUUUUCCGACAUUAGAAACAAUAGUGUACGCCUGUGGAGGCCUCGUUUGUUCAGGGGCUGCCGGCCAGGGCUUCAGGACGUUUCUGCGGCUUUCCCCGCGCGGCCUGGGCUCCCGCGGCUGCUUUUCGGGCCCAUGGGCGCAGCCACUGCGCCAGGCUCAAGGGGGGCGGCCCCGUCAGGGCCCGCCAUCUUGGAAGGCCUUUUUUGCCGGUUCUUCCCGCUGAGGAAGUGUCGCUCAAGACGCUGGCCUAUGAGUUGUGAUUUCUGCCUUUUCCCCUUCCUCCUUGGGCUAAGCCAGACCAGAAAGGGCCCCGUGCGCAACGUGCUUCACAAUCUCUCAGGGAAAGCGGCUAACGUGGCGCUACUCCGCCUCCCCUGUUCCUUACCCUUGGGGCGGCCGCCAUGUUUCCUGAACACAAAAUGGCGACACGUGGUUAGCAUUCGUCGCCAACGAGAAAUUGGGGUCGGCCCGAAAGCUCUAGAAUGCACCCCUCUUCCUCCCCGGGGCCUUCCACCUCCGCGAGUUUUAUGACUUAAAAAAGCCCACAGGCUGGUCUGAAGGUCGGAGGCCUAAUUUUAACGCGUUUUCCUCCCUUUAAUUUGAAACGGGAACGCGAAUGACUGUAAAAUGUGGGCACAAUAUUUAAUCUCUCGCCUUUUUAAAGCUUAAUAGUGGAUAAUAGGGGGGCAGUAUCAAGGGAUAAUUUGGGUCCCCACAGUACCAAAGCAUUUAGAAACCUCUGUUUAAUUUAAGGAAUGAGAUAAGUUACUGCUUUUCUAGACUUCCUAGCAUGGGCUGUUGUGCUGGAGAGAACGAGAGCUACGAAGAGACUACAGUGCCUCUGACUUUUUCAUAGGACAGUUGGCCGAGGAAGACAAACAUAAAGAUGAAGUGCUUAAUUCAAGGUCACACAAUGUCGGGGAUGGACCUCCAGAUUUCCUUACUGACCUGCAUUAUCUUGUGGAUACCUGAGUGAAUUCCACACCACCCAUUUUAUAGAUGAAACCACUGAGACAUGGAGCAAUUGACUGAGUAGUCACUGCCCCACCCCUGCCUGGAGCCUCACACAUGACUCGCCUCCUCUCAGUGACCACAGGAAAACAAGCUCAGGGCUCCCACUGAUUGUACAUUAUGGUGAGACGUGGUCUUGUAACACAGUGGUUAAGAAUGUGACUUUGGAGCCAGCCUGCUAGGGGCUGAAUUCUGACUCAGCCAUUUACUAACUGUGUGACCUUAGUUCCCUGAGCACAUGCUGUUGAGUAAUCCUGCCUGGACCAGUACUUCCCUCACCCUAGACUUCACCUUCAGUUCCCCUUUAUACCACCUGCUGAAGCUGCCAGCCAGCCUUUUCGACCACCCUCCCUCCCCCAGGGGUGUUUGGCUUCUCAGACCCCAGCCUGAGCUAGUGCCCUUGGCUUCCUAGGGUCUUGCCAGGAAAGCAAAGGAGAACAUGCAUACCGCCAAAGAGUACCUAAUAAUAAGAACUCCCAUCCUGAAUUGUGAUUUAUAGUCAGCAUAGCACAUGUGUCAGGUGAUUAUACUUAGGCUGAUUUUAGCCUUAAUAAUCUGCUUCUGUGAUCCUGUAUGUGGGAAGCCUAGAAAUUUCUCUGUGAUCCUCCUUCCUGGAUCACUAAGAGACAAGUCAAGACAUAGGUCCAUUCUACCACCUGUGUUAAUCUGGGCCUUGUUGAGACCAUUUAAAGAAAGGCGUGAUGCUAGAAGUAAGGUCCAGGCCUCCUGCACACUGUUUCAAGGCUGUGACCAUAGUCAGAUCCUGUUGCUUGAGUCCAAAGAGUUUAAAAUAGUGUUGGAAACCUCCUAGGGAAAAAACAAAAAACAAAACACCACAUCUUCCUGGGUAAGGAAGUGACAUGUGCUGACUAGAGCAGGAGGGGUAGCCAAGGCUCCAAGUUCUAUUCUGGACCUGUUGUUGAUUUGAGGUGUGACAUUCAGCAAUCUGAGCUGAUGUUCUGUAGCUCUGAUUGGUUUCUCAUCUUCUGCAGAGAGAGUGAAAGAGGCUGUGCUUGCAGGGGAAAAGGUGAACACUGGUCUCCUGUCCUUUAGGAGAGCUUCACCAUUACACGUCCUGCCUCUCAUUUGAAUUUCCAGGCUUUUUUAGAGUCUCGCUCUAUUGCCCAGAUUGGAGUGCAGUGGUGUGAUCUCGGCUCACUGCAACCUCUGCCUCUGGGUUUAAGCGAUUCUCUCACCUCAGCCUCCCAAGUAGCUGGAAUUAUAGGUGCGUGCCACCAUGCCUGGCUAAUUUUUGUGUUUUUAGUAGAGACAGGGUUUCACCAUGUUGGCCAGGCUAGUCUCGAACUCCUGACCUCAAGUGAUCCACCCACCUCGGCCUCCCAACCAGGCUUUUUUAAAUGCAGAAACCGCCCGCCCCCAGAGUUAAUAUGGAAACCCAGCAAUGUUGUUUAUGUUUUACUUGAAUUCGUUUCAUCAGAAUUGCAUUCCUUUUAACAGUGUGAUUAGAUCAGCUCUUAGAGGGGAUGGCAGCUUCAGUAGGGUUUAGGAAAGGAAAGGAAUAUUUGUGUGGGGCACACACUUUGGCUUUGAUAGCUUGAGGAUACCAGGUACAUGAUAAUUUAGAUGGAUAACAGAAACUUGUGUCCCUUGAGAGCCAGGCAUGUAUUAGAUGCUUUCAUACAUUAUUUAAUUGUAAUACAAACCAAUAAAGUAUUCCCAUUUUUUGCACAUGGGCAAGCUGAAAGUCAAAGAAGUUAUGUAACUUGCCCAAGGUCACACAGCUAAUAAAAAGGCUGAGCUAGGA
rnacentral:lncRNA from 1 species